rnacentral:lncRNA from 1 species
GGAAAUCAAACAGAAAGUUUGUAUCCAACUGCACCUCUUUGGAUUCAGAUGUGCCGAGCUGAGGUGUGCAUGGCCUUCUCUUGUCUCACCACAGUGAUGUGAUCUCGUCCUCUGGGGUUUGCCACCUGCCUUUCCUCCUAAUAAACUUAUUUUAUACAUAGUUAAGGGAAUAGAUUGCAACAAAACACCUGUUCAGCAUGGAUUGUCUUAAAAAAUAGGGAAAUUGGUUGGAGAAAUGAUUAUAAGAUUUCCAGGGAAGCACUGCCUGUGACCAUUUACUUAGGUAUCAUUGUGGGAGGUUUGAGUUAGUCUUGAUGGUUUUCUGUCCAAGGCCCCGAUGAGGCCUCCUUUGAGCCUCUGGCUAAAGGCGAUUUUUCCCUGUCCUCCUCCCCCAUUCCUUGGUUUCUCUAGGUUCCUCAGAACCGGGGUGGCCAGGACUCACUUGCC